rnacentral:ncRNA from 1 species
GCAGCUGAAUUAGAGAUCGGCGCCUGCUUUUUUAAUCGUUUUAUGAAUUUGGAGUUCUAUAAUGUCUCUAAGUGUUGAAGCUAAAGCUCAAAUCGUUGCUGACUUCGGUCGUGACGC